AUCAAGGCAGUGAACAGACAAGAUAAAACCAAGAAGCUAUUCCUGGGACAUAUCUCUGAGUUCCAUUAUGUGAGCCUGAAUGAACUAGGACAGUUUUGCAGGGAUUGUCACUUGGAGUUGUCGGUGUGCCAAUGCGUGGACAACAUUAAUGCAAGAUGACACAAGAUCAUCCACACCUGGUUAUGGUAGUGAAGAGGACACAGUGGCGACAGAGAUGGGCGAGGAGAGAGGCACACAAUGUUUCUGCAAAGAUAUCCGUAUCAGGACAUGAAGGCAGGCUUUGCAGCAAGUUACAUACCAGUAGAGCUCUAUGGACACCUCCUGAAGUGGCUUGAAACCAACUUUACACGUCGUAUCCCAAAAGACAAAAGCUGCCCCUACACCAGCUCAAUGACCACUGUCUUG